UUGGAGGGCAAGUCUGGUGCCAGCAGCCGCGGUAAUUCCAGCUCCAAUAGCGUAUAUUAAAGUUGUUGCAGUUAAAAAGCUCGUAGUUGAAUUUCGGGAUCAAUAUAUCGGUCGUGCCUUUGGUACGUACUGGUAUCAUUGAUUUCUCCUUUCUGACGAAUCAUGAUGUCAUUAAUUUGGUGUUAUGAGGAGUUAGGACUGUUACUUUGAAAAAAUUAGAGUGUUUAAAGCAGGCAUUAGCUUGAAUACAUUAGCAUGGAAUAAUGAAAUAGGACGUUUGACCCUAUUUUGUUGAUUUUUAGGAUCGACGUAAUGAUUAAUAGGGAUAGUUGGGGGCAUUAGUAUUCAAUUGUCAGAGGUGAAAUUCUUGGAUUUAUUGAAGACUAACUACUGCGAAAGCAUUUGCCAAGGAUGUUUUCAUUAAUCAAGAACGAAAGUUAGGGGAUCGAAGACGAUCAGAUACCGUCGUAGUCUUAACCAUAAACUAUGCCGACUAGGGAUCGGAUGAUGUUAAUUUUAUAAUGACUCAUUCGGCGCCUUACGGGAAAC
rnacentral:rRNA from 1 species